rnacentral:vault_RNA from 1 species
GCGCUGGCUUAGCUCAGUGGUUACAUCGCAGAUCUGUCUUCCACAGAAAAGUCGUUCCUCCCUGCCGAGGGAUCAAACCACGGGCGCUGUCCAGCGUUUUC